GGGUCCCAUGGGAGAGGAGGGGAAGAGGGGAGAACGGGGUGACGCCGGGACUUCAGGCGCCGCUGGACCCAAUGGAGAGAGAGGUGCUCCUGGCAGUAGAGGUUUUCCUGGUCAGGAUGGGCUACCUGGUCAAAAGGGUGCCCAAGGUGAGCGAGGACUGGGUGGGUCAUCUGGUG